CUAUCGAAAGGGAAUCGGGUUAAUAUUCCCGAACCAGGACGUGGAUACCGAGUGGUGACACAAGCGAAAUCCAGGACAGCGGUGUGUGCUCCGGCAAGAGUUCUCUUUUCUUGUUAACAGUGUGGGUGGCCCCUGGAAUCGGAUCGACCGGCGAUAGGGGUCAGCCCGUAUGGGAAAGCGGCUUAAUCUUUGAGCCGUCCGGCACGCACGCAACGCUCCUUGAAAACUGGAUGGAGUGAUUUAUUCGCACCCCUGGUCGUACUCAUAACCGCAUCAGGUCUCCAAGGUGAGCAGCCUCUAGUCGAUAGAGCAAUGUAGGUAAAGGAAGUCGGCAAAAUGGUUCCGCAACCUCGGGAGAAGGAAUGGCUCUGAAGGCUGGGCGCAGGGGUCGUCGGUCCGAGGCUCGCUGGCUGCGCGCGGACUACCGGCCUCACGGCUGGCGGACCGCGCGCGGCCGUCGUGCGGACGGCCGAGGAGCGGGUGUUUGAACGGCGCGUUUCUGCGCGGCCGCGUUCGCCUUCCCUGCGCGCUGAACAGCCGCUUCAGAACUGGCGCGGACAAGGGGAAUCCGACUGUUUAAUUAAAACAGAGCAUUGUGAUGGCCCCGGGGGUGUUGACACAAUGUGAUUUCUGCCCAGUGCUCUGAAUGUCAAAGUGAUGAAAUUCAAACAAGCGCGGGUAAACGGCGGGAGUAACUAUGAC
rnacentral:rRNA from 1 species